GUGUGACCAUAUGGCUGGAGGAGGCUGGAAUUGUUUAUUUCCUUUGUUCCACAGGAAGACUAGAGCCAGCUGGAGUUGGUAAUUUUACUUCCUCCAAGUUCGUUAGGCACUGAUGAAACCCCAGCAGUUUAGGUUCUGGUUAAAUAGUUUCUCCUGAGGGCAGACUUUGUUAAGAAGAAUACAAUGCUCUGGCAUAUUUCAAAAUGGCACUUUUCCCUCCCUUGCUGUAAGCAUGGGGGCAUUUUUAAAAAUCUGCUAUUUGCUUUGAUAAACUGGUGGAGCUCUAGCAGGUAAAACUCGCAAAAGUAGGGGGCCCCUCAAUAACUGAAUCCCUCUGAAGUUUCAAACUCUCUGACUUGUCCACAUUGAGCUUCCAGCAAUUUGUUAAUUACAGUUCAGGUUUUUCCAGUUUGGCACUGGUUCCCUUGGAGGUUUCUGCUCAUGGGUUUCUGCUCUGCAGGUGAAAAUAUUGUGCCACUUCCUUAUAACCUCCAAAGUGUCUGAUGUGAAAUUGCUGUCAUUAGCAUGGAUUAUUUUCCCCCUAUAGCAGAUUGGAUUUGAUGAGACUUAGCAAACCAGCCAUUCACCUGGGCAAGAUUGUCAAAAUUCAAACUUGAAUUGUGCAUAUUUUGAUGUGGAUGUUUUGAUGAGGCCUUUGGAAUCAGCAUGUACUUACACACACAAAGCAUCUUGAUUCAGAUGAGCCAUAUUUUGACUCCUUAGUAGCCACAGGAAGGUAGUGGCUCUGCUAUUGGACAGCACUGACCUGGGCUUUGGAGCCAAUAGAACAGGAAAUAUAUCUCCCUUGACAAUUGUAAAAAAAGAAAAUCUCAUGCAAAACCACUAAAUUCUUUGAUGAUCUCAUUUUUUAUUACAGGUUUUGUUUCUUUUUGAGUCAAUCUUUUCCUAGAUAUUAGUCUAUUCCAUUGAGAUUUUCAAAUUAUGUAUUUAAUAUUUGACAAUUUAUUCUUCUUUGAUCUAAAAACUCUCAUGCUUGUGGUUAUGUCCUAUUUUCCAUUCCUAAUUUCAUGAGACUAAGAGAUGUUAUGGCUAUACACUGUAACAAUAUGUUACUGAAGGAAAUAUACACAAGUCUCUUUUGGGGGCACUAAUUAUGAAUCUAUUU
rnacentral:lncRNA from 10 species